rnacentral:lncRNA from 1 species
GAGUUGAAGAGCCGAUGGGCAGCAGGCAGACUUGAGUCUCCUUUCUGUCCAUGGGCUCGGGCCACUGUAUCAGGUCCACCCGUGGCUCCAAAAUGGUCUCCUGGUCCGUGAUAGCAAAGAUCCAGGAAAUAUGGUGCGAGGAAGAUGAGAGGAAGAUGGCGCGAGAGUUCCUGGCCGAGUUCAUGAGCACAUAUGUCAUGAUGAACAUACAUAUGAUAGUUGAGAAAGACACAUAUUCUGAUCAUGAAGAAAUAAACACAAGUUAAAUAUGACUAAGCAGAAAGAUGGAAGGACCAGGAAUGGUGAUGCUAACUUGGAACCACGAUGCAGGCUCUAAACUCCUCUACAAUCAUCCUCCCUUGUGAGAAAAAUACUUGAUCUGAAGGUCCCAGCAAGGAGCCGACUCACAGAAGAAUGCAGUUUUCACAUCAUGAUGAUUUAAUCUUCCUUGACCUGAGCAAUUGACAACCCCAAUUCUCCAGAACCUCACCCGCCACAAUCCCCUUAAAAACCCUGGCCCAGAACCCCUCAAGCAGACAGAUGUGAAGCUUGAGGAUUCCUUCAUCUCUUUGCCCAAUGGCAUUGUGAUUAUUAAACUCUUUUUCUGCUGCAAA